CUUCUCUGGGUGUACAGUAUCAAUUCCACUUUAAAAACAAAGGAGCCCCAUAAAUUGUGCUGUUGGUCUCCAAGUUCUUCAGGUUCAGCCCUGUGUGUUCCCAAAGCCCCUUUCCCUGUGGCACCAAGAGGUGGUAAGUAAAGUCUGGCCAGGGGACAGCUGCAUUUGUCUAUUGUAAGUCUCUUAGCUGUAGCCAUGGUCACCUCUAAACAUGUAUGUCUUCUUGACUCCACACUCUGCCAUGGAGGAGACCAGGAGCCCACUGCAUGGAAACUAUGCACAUCAUUUCAGCUCUCCUUUUACCUAGGAGUCUUGAGAACCUAGGCUGGGCUGCUGGCUUACCUGGGUUUUGAGCUGACGUUAGCAUUCUGGGGUGGAGUUACUCAUUCUGGGUUUGACUGCUGCACUCUCUUUUGAGAACAUGCUUGUGCUAAAAGGUGUGUGUGUGUGUGUGUGUGUGUGUGUGUGUGUGUGUGUGUGUAACGGGGGGGGGGAGAGAGAGAGAGAGGACUUAUUACAGUCCUCAGAGGACCAAAGAGGCAAAGGGGAAUCAACUACAGAGCUGGGUCCUGUCCAACCCCACACACCUGCUCCCCCGCCAUGCCUGGCCCCCCAGUGCUGAGACAUCUGUUGUCAAGAGAUAAUACCUGAAACCAACAAAGCUGAGAAGUCCCCUUUUACUGGCUCUAUUCUCUCUUGACAGAUUAUAUGGGUUCUUUUCAUAUUUUCAAAGAACCCUCUUGGGGGAUUAGAAAAUUUAAUGUUUAAAUCACUGACGAUGAGAAACAAGCCAAGAAGAGCAUUUUUAAAAAGGGAUAGGAGGCCUGAUUUUGUUCCUGCCUGGGAGCCGCUCACUCCAUCCCAGCACUCAGAGGGGAAGUUUUCUCCUUAGGGAGCUGGCUGGGUGCAGCCUGGAAGUUCUGAAAACACAGAUGUCUCUGCGUUGCUGUGGAAAGACCACAGAGGCUUCUUCUCAAUUCCACAGCAAAGUCAUUCCACUGGAGUUCGUGGCUGACUUCCUUAGAAGAACAGUUCCCGUGAGAGAGGACAGAAUCCUGAGGGAUACGUGGUGGCAGCGAGGUCCUGAGCUGUCCCUAGUUAGCAUCUCCUGCCACAAAUCAGAAACAUGUGACUCAGUCUGGAAUGAGGCUGAUCAAAGCCUUCAUGGAACUAUUCACCCCAGCUAUGGAUGCAAGCACAGGAGUUACAUUCGUGUAUUUGAGAAGAUUAGAAAAAUAGAGAAAAGCAUAGAAAAGAAAGGAAGACUCAUCUUGUCUCCCAUCACCCUGAGUUACAGUGAGGACUUGGUGGGCUGCCUUCUGUACUCUUACCCCUCGUGCCCUCCAGAUCCAUGCCCUGUGCUGCUCUGUGCCUGCAGCCUCAUCAACAGGCCCUGUGUCCUCUUAUAUGGCUGGGUUUGGCCACUUGGAAGGCCUGGCAGAAGGAAGGAGAGGAAAGUCAGUGAAAUUGUUCCCCUGGCACCCUCCCUGCAAGGUCACCUUGCUGCAGAUCACUACUGCUCUCAAGACUCAGGAGCCUAAUGAGACACUGUCUCCUGCCGCACUCUGCAUACUAUCCCUUACUUCCCUCCUGACCCUAAUACUGAUGUGGUAAACAUAAAAGCCUAAACAUUGCAGGGGAGAGCAAAUCAUCUGCAGUCAACUAGAGCACAGCAGCAGCCACUGAUGAAUGAGAGAACAAACUUGCCUUCCUUCUAAGUGUGGGCCUUCCAGUCAUCCACAGGUAUGGAUGCACAGUGGAAAUUUUGUUGGUCGUCGCUUGCUGCAUGGAUGACAGAAUUUGGAGUAGAAAGCUGAAUUAAAGUAUUGAGGUCACACACUACUUUCAGUUCACAAAUUCCAAAUUCAGUCAUCCUUACUGAUUCUCUUAAUAGCUUACUAGUAAGAAGCAACAAAUUUGUCAUAAAAACAACAGUGGAAGGAUUGUGUGGCAUUCACUCAGAAGAGUAGAGGGGAUUUACCUGUUUGGAAAGCAGUUUGCACCCAUCUGGAGAAUUCUUGUAUCCCACCAGUGCUUUGAAGUCUACUUUGAAAGUGACUGUUAAAAUUACUGCAUUGGCAAAAAUUUAUAAGCUACCCUGCCCUGAGAUAGCCAAAGUCCUAGAGAAUUGGGACUCUGUGAUGGAAAAGGCCACUCACCUGAAUCAUGCUUGUUCCCAGUGAGGAGCAACCCUUCAAACGAUGAAGGUCCUUCUGAAGCAUCAGUGUCAGCAUCUGGGACAAUUUUUCUAGAAAGAACUUGCUGUGUGAACUGAAAACACUCGGGGAAAUCUUUUCACAAGGAGGUUCUAAGAGCUGAAUAAGUAUUGAGGAGCUCCAGCCCUACUCUAACCUUUAAAUCGUAACCAGACUUCCCUUGCCAAUGCCAGGGUGGAGCUCUAGAAGCAGUGGCUUUAGACCCGCUUGUUUCACUGUGCUCUGGUCUUCUCAACUCUCUUGUCUUAGGAUCUCACCAGAAACUGCCCUGGUUUUUUUUUUUCCUAUCUCUAAAUUCUGAUUCCUCACUUAACCUUUGGGCUUGGGGACCCUCUUGGGCUUCCCUAGCUUGGACCAUUUCAGGCUGUCAUUAGUGACUUGCACCUAUUGUCUUGUUCUUCCUACACCUGACCCACUUGCAGUUUCAUUUCCAGUUCCAGCUGCCCAGAAGGGAGGUGAGAUGCAGCAAAACAACACCCUCAAGUCUCUGGAAUCCAAACACGCCUGCCGCAGUUAACCAUCAUGUACACCUAGGGACAAGUCUGGGUUCAGCCAUGUGCUGUAGAUCUGUACUUUGUAGGAAUUGAGAGUAUGUAUGAAUUUGGGGUUGAUAGCUAGGUAGAUACUCAGUUAUUUCCGUAUCACUUGUUAUAGCCAUCUUCCCACCGCCAUGACCACCUAGACCCUUCCCCAGAACUCUCUGGACCUUCCUAAUCCUGCAACUUAAGAGGCAAUGCCUGGCCAACAGGGGGUGGGAGGAUGCCAGUGGAGCUUUGAUUAGGUACCGUGACCAACAUUCUUUCUAAUUGGUUGAUACCUGAGCCAUCUAGUCAUUAUAAAUCUUAAAUUUCAACCCUGUGCAAGUGUGCUGUAGUCUUGGUUCCCUUAUAAAAAAUGAAAAAGAAAAAUAGCCUGCCAUGUCAAAUAUUCUCAGCCUGCAGUUUCUUCUCUUCAAAGGCCACCCCAGAGGCAUGAAUGUUUGUUUGCAACAAGGAGAUGAUUUCAUAAAUAUUGCUCUUUGCCAAAUCCCCAGAGGCCAUUGAAGGUUGGGUGCUAAUAAAGCUUGAAUUCCUAUUAAGCAUGUGGUCUAUGUAGGUCAUUGCCAAGUACUGGCAUGAUGAAAAGUAAAGGAAAGCAAAGCAAACACAGUAACCCCAGAUAGAGCAUGGAUGAGGAGCUGCAACCCCAUUUCCAAACAAGAAACACACCUGAAAUCUCUUUUCUGGUUUGUCUUGAUACCAAGGACUUGGUUUCCCCACUUGUAAAAUGAGGGUCGUAAGAAUGACCUCCUUCACUACUCUUCUAGGAUUUUUGUCAAUAUGCUUCUUUAGAAGAAGCGGGGAGGCAGGUGAGGAAUGGCAUUGGCAGACUCUAUUGUUGGUAGCUUUAGGUUUUCAGUUGCUGACACAUUGUUGUAGUGUCUGGGUUUUAUUUUACCUGGCAGCCUCAGGAAGGGGGUGUGGCAGGAGUGGCAAAAGGAAAUGCUCCAGGAAUUCAAGGUCUUGCCUGAAGGAAACUGCAGAUGCCUUAGAUUCUGCAUGGAGGCUUUUUUCCAGAUGUUCACAGGAAGAUGACCCAUGUCAAACUUUCAGCCACUUGGACAAGGUUCAGGAUUGUUCUUUAGGGAGACCUCUUCCUGAGCAAUGAGGAACAUGUGCAUUUCCCAAGCAUCCUGUUGAGUGGUGACAUUCCUUUCCUUACCAAGGUGCUUCCAGCUGAAAGGGUGUCAGUGCAGGCAGGAGAGGCAGAUGAAUGGUCUGAGGCUGGGGCCAGACAUCUGGAGGAAGAUAUUGGAAUUGGAGGAGUGCUGGACCCUAGAUUUGAAAAGAUGCUCUGGGGGAGAAGGCAGUAGAUGUACUUGUGCUAAUAUGGCCUCUGGCAAGAGGAUUCCAGGCUAGGUCGUCUCCUAUGUCCCUAUCAGAGAAUGGGAAUCCUUAAGAAGGAAGUGUAGAAAGCACAGGAAAAGAGGAACUCAGGAUAAGCUGGAGGGAAGAGGGCAAAACUGGGGUAGUUCUAGGAGAGUGGAGACCAUGCCGAGCCCUAAGCAUGCUCCUUUUUUUUAGAGAAGAGAGAAAAAAAAAUCAACUAAUGUUUACUUCCUCCUGUGUUGCAGAAUAUUUGAAGUGAACCUGUACCUUUAGAUUAAUUUAUGUAUGAAAUAAACACAUGUAUUUAUUUGGUGCCAGGAACUUUUCCAGAGUUUCACAAGUUUCAAUUCAUUUAGUCCCCAUGACAUUUGGAAGUAGUUAGUAUGGUUAUUCUUAUUGCACUGUGAGGAAACUGAGGCACAGAACCAUUGAGUGACUGGUCCCCACAGUAAUACAACUGGUGAGGAGCAGCUGAGACUAGCAGGCAGCCUGGCUUCCAAAUCUGUGCUCUUGACCUUUGACUUAGAUUUUUUAAAAUAGACUUUACUUUUUAGAACAGAUUUAUAGAAAAUUAAGAAAAUUUAGAGAAAAUUAAGAUGAUAGUACUGAGAAUUCCAAUAUAUUCCCUACCUAGUUUAUGCUAUUAUAAAACCUGACAUUAGUGUAGUACAUUCAUUAUAAUUAAGGAAGCACUGUUGAUACACUAUUAUUAACCAAAGUCCAUAGUUCAUUUGGAUUGCCUUAAUUUUUACCUAAUUUUUUUUCUAUUCCAGGAUUCUAUCCAGGAUUCAACAUUGCAUUUAAUCAUCAUUUGUCCUUCAGCUCCUCUUGUCCGUGACAAUUUUUCCAACUUCCCUUGUUUUUGACCUUGAUGAUUUUGAGGAGUGAUGGUCAGGUGUCUGGGGAUGUGUCUGAUGAUUUUUUCUCAUGAUUAGACUGGGUUUCAAUCCUUGAUUCUUGAUAGGUAUAAUACACUCUUGCAAGAGCCAGAACCAAUGAUAGCAUUCCACACUACUUUUGUUUUUGUUGUUGUUUUACAUAUUUGUUUCCUUUUGGAAGAAGAAAGAGACUCCUGUUUUGUAGUUGUUUGGGGUCAUCUGGUUCCAUUUAAAAAUAAUAAACCCAGACACUCCAGCUGCUAUGAGGCAAAAGGGCCCUUGGUCUGUAUUAGUCUCCAUAUUUCAGGAUUGCAGGUUUCACUUAGCUCUUUCAGCCCUCAAGACUGGCCCUGCUCAUUCAUCCCUGUUGAGACUGGGACACUGGCUCAGAAAAAGGCAAAAGGAACACUGUUGGGGGCUUGGCCCUGUAGGGCUCUGCCCUACCCACUCAUCUGUCAUCUGGUGCUACUCUCUUCCUG
ensembl:lncRNA